rnacentral:rRNA from 1 species
GCUUGGGAACAUGCCUUGAGGUGGGGGACAACCAUUGGAAACGAUGGCUAAUACCGCAUAAUGUCUACGGACCAAAGGGGGCUUCGGCUCUCGCCUUUAGAUUGGCCCAAGUGGGAUUAGCUAGUUGGUGAGGUAAGGGCUCACCAAGGCGACGAUCCCUAGCUGGUUUGAGAGGAUGAUCAGCCACACUGGAACUGAGACACGGUCCAGACUCCUACGGGAGGCAGCAGUGGGGAAUAUUGCACAAUGGGCGCAACCUGAUGCAGCCAUGCCGCGUGUGUGAAGAAGGCCUUAGGGUUGUAAAGCACUUUCAGUCAGGAGGAAAGGUUAGUAGUUAAUACCUGCUAGCUGUGACGUUACUGACAGAAGAAGCACCGGCUAACUCCGUGCCAGCAGCCGCGGUAAUACGGAGGGUGCGAGCGUUAAUCGGAAUUACUGGGCGUAAAGCGUACGCAGGCGGU